rnacentral:rRNA from 1 species
AUACGGAGGGUGCAAGCGUUGUUCGGAAUUAUUGGGCGUAAAGAGCAUGUAGGCGGACUGUUAAGUCUGGUGUGAAAGCCCGGGGCUCAACCCCGGAAGUGCAUUGGAUACUGGCAGUCUUGAGUAUGGGAGAGGAAAGUGGAAUUCCGAGUGUAGGAGUGAAAUCCGUAGAUAUUCGGAGGAACACCAGUGGCGAAGGCGGCUUUCUGGACCAAUACUGACGCUGAGAUGCGAAAGCGUGGGGAGCGAACAGAAUUAGAUACCCUAGUAGUCC